rnacentral:rRNA from 1 species
GUAGUCCACGCCGUAAACGGUGGGCGCUAGAUGUGGGGACCCUUCCAUGGUUUCUGCGUCGCAGCUAACGCAUUAAGCGCCCCGCCUGGGGAGUACGGUCGCAAGACUAAAACUCAAAGGAAUUGACGGGGGCCCGCACAAGCAGCGGAGCAUGCGGCUUAAUUCGAUGCUACGCGAAGAACCUUACCUAGACUUGACAUAUACGGAAGACAUGCAGAGAUGUAUGGUCCUAACGGGCCGUUUACAGGUGGUGCAUGGUUGUCGUCAGCUCGUGUCGUGAGAUGUUGGGUUAAGUCCCGCAACGAGCGCAACCCUCGUUCUAUGUUGCCAGCACGUAAUGGUGGGGACUCAUAGGAGACUGCCGGGGUCAACUCGGAGGAAGGUGGGGAUGACGUCAAAUCAUCAUGCCCCUUAUGUCUAGGGCUGCACGCAUGCUACAAUGGCUGGUACAAAGGGCUGCGAUACCGCAAGGUGGAGCGAAUCCCAAAAAGCCAGUCUCAGUUCGGAUUGGGGUCUGCAACUCGACCCCAUGAAGUUGGAGUUGCUAGUAAUCGCAGAUCAGCAACGCUGCGGUGAAUACGUUCCCGGGCCUUGUACACACCGCCCGUCACGUCACGAAAGUCGGUAACACCACGAAGCCGGUGGCCUAACCGUAAGGAAGGAGCCGUCGAAG